CUGUCCAGCUACUAAGUAUUUUAAGAUCUAGUUAAAGCAGUAAUGCCUUCCUCUUUUAUUUUAUAGGUUUGUGUUUGAGGACAUGGAUGAUGCUAUGCUCAUUACAGGGAUUUUUAUUAUUUUUGCCAUGUAGCACCUGUUGCCAUCGUCCUCCGCAUGACGCACAGCAGUGGUUGCAUCGUAAUAGGUUCUCAUCUUUCUGCAGGAUUUUCUCUGGUUUCUCAGGUUCUGAUUUGCUAAAAAUGAGCAGAGACGACUUCAUUCAAAUCUGUGGGCCUGCUGAUGGAAUCCGUCUUUUUAAUACAAUCAAGGGGAGGCGAGAUGUCUCUUUAAAUAAACACUUCUCACCUGUCACCAUGAUCCAGAUUUUAUGCUUCAUAAUCAUGCUGUUUGAUCUUUUCGCUUUAAUGUCUGUCAGGUGCGUACAACCACAUCUCACUGUCUAUGUAUGUCAGCUGCAGAAUAGAUAUCAAUCACAUGCCAAAGGAGGGGCUGAUGGAGUCUACCAUGCCCUCUACCUAGAGGACCUUACUGUGUUUGAGCUUGCUGAGAAGAUAGCCAAUCUAUAAAAUGUGCCCUAACAGCAGAUUCAUCAUGUAUACAGACAAGGGCCGACAGGGAUUUACGUCUUGCUUUCGGAUGCGAUGGUGCAGAACUUCACAUAGGAGACCAGCUUCAUAAUCAGCACUUUGAAAGGUAACUUCAUGGACAUGACACUUAUCUCAACUAUACUGAUAGCUUUUUGUUUGUCAGGUUGUACUUAUCAGGAGAAAAUAAACCAGAUGUCCAUUGCUUAAAGGUGCUUUUAUAAGCAGGACUUUUAUAUAAUAGAUACAAAUAUGAAGUAAAUCAGUGUGUUUUUAAGAAUACAAUAUGAUUGUGUCACAAUAACAAGCUACAAUGUAAAACACCAAUCCAAUUAAUGGAUUCACAUUUAAUCCAUAAUGUCCUUGUGCUUAUUAUAAUACUGUAUUUGGUUAAUGUUCGCUCUUUUUUUUUACCUGUGUGAUUGCAGAUGAAAGUAAUGAUGGUUAUAAAUAUAAAUAU